GUUUGCCGUCCCCCUCACAUCCACGAAUAACUGGGUCCCACUGGAUGGGACAAUACAUGCCAUGUAGAAUGUAACACCAUGUUUCUACAGUUGAAAGAAGCGUUUAAAUAAGAAAGAGGGACAAAGAACCUGCAAAGAAAGCAGAAAGAGCAGGCAGUCUUCUCCUUAGCAUGGGGCAGAACAGUUCUGUUCUUAACAACAGAGCUUAGUCUUACUAAAGAGGAUAAAGAUUUUUCUUAC
ensembl:lincRNA